GCAAGACCUGACAGGAAAUGAGCCUGUGAGAUGAGCAUGAGGUACAAGGAUAAGGAUGAACCAAGUAUAACUGACUUCAGCCUCAGGCAAUGUAUCUUUAAAACACAAAUCCAAAACACAGCUCCACACCAGCCACUGUGAAGAAAAAGAGCUCUACCCCAGCUGAAGCCAACAUCCUGUCACGAAAAGGGAAAGGGCUCAAGGAUGGAAGCUGGGAAAGCACAAAACUCUUUAUAGGACAGCUUGGAUUUAGAAGGAGAGGAUAUGGCCCUGCAUUGCUCUUUUCUGUGUACCUUUGGUGACAAACUCAAGCCAGCCUGAGCACCACUGGGAUUUACUGAAUGCAAAACCAGGAUAAAAUGA